UGGGGAAUAUUGCACAAUGGGCGAAAGCCUGAUGCAGCGACGCCGCGUGAGGGAUGACGGCCUUCGGGUUGUAAACCUCUUUCAGUAGGGACGAAGCGCAAGUGACGGUACCUGCAGAAGAAGCACCGGCUAACUACGUGCCAGCAGCCGCGGUAAUACGCAGGGUGCGAGCGUUGUCCGGAAUUACUGGGCGUAAAGAGCUCGUAGGCGGUUUGUCACGUCGUCUGUGAAAUCCUAGGGCUUAACCCUGGACGUGCAGGCGAUACGGGCUGACUUGAGUACUACAGGGGAGACUGGAAUUUCUGGUGUAGCUGUGGAAUGCACAGAUAUCAGGAAGAACACCGAUGGCGAAGGCAGGUCUCUGGGUAGUAACUGACGCUGAGGAGCGAAAGCAUGGGUAGCGAACAGG
rnacentral:rRNA from 1 species